rnacentral:rRNA from 1 species
AACGUAGGUGGCAAGCGUUAUCCGGAUUCACUGGGCGUAAAGCGCGCGUAGGCGGCUUUUCAAGUCGAUUGUGAAAUCCCCGGGCUUAACCUGGGAACUGCAGUCGAGACUGUCUAGCUAGAGUAUGGGAGAGGGAAGUGGAAUUUCAGGUGUAGCGGUGAAAUGCGUAGAUAUCUGAAGGAACAUCAGUGGCGAAAGCGACUUCCUGGACCAAUACUGACGCUCAUGUGCGAAAGCGUGGGGAGCAAACAGG